GACGAACGCUGGCGGCGUGCUUAACACAUGCAAGUCGAACGGAAAGGCCCUGCUUUUGUGGGGUGCUCGAGUGGCGAACGGGUGAGUAACACGUGAGUAACCUGCCCUUGACUUUGGGAUAACUUCAGGAAACUGGGGCUAAUACCGGAUAGGAGCUCCUGCUGCAUGGUGGGGGUUGGAAAGUUUCGGCGGUUGGGGAUGGACUCGCGGCUUAUCAGCUUGUUGGUGGGGUAGUGGCUUACCAAGGCUUUGACGGGUAGCCGGCCUGGGAGGGUGACCGGCCACAAUGGGACUGGGAUACGGCCCAGACUCCUACGGGAGGCAGCAGUGGGGAAUAUUGCACAAUGGGCGGAAGCCUGAUGCAGCAACGCCGCGUGCGGGAUGACGGCCUUCGGGUUGUAAACCGCUUUCGCCUGUGACGAAGCGUGAGUGACGGUAAUGGGUAAAGAAGCACCGGCUAACUACGUG
rnacentral:rRNA from 1 species